rnacentral:rRNA from 1 species
UACAGAGGGGGCAAGCGUUGUUCGGAAUUAUUGGGCGUAAAGGGCGCGUAGGCGGUUUGCUAAGUCAGUUGUGAAAGCCCGGGGCUCAACCCAGGAACUGCGUCCGAUACUGGAAGGCUUGAAUCCGGGAGAGGGAUGCGGAAUUCCAGGUGUAGCGGUGAAAUGCGUAGAUAUCUGGAGGAACACCGGUGGCGAAGGCGGCAUCCUGGACCGGCAUUGACGCUGAGGCGCGAAAGCCAGGGGAGCAAAGCGGG